UAGUGGGUUACUCAUAACCAAACCAAUAAAAAUUAAAUAAUUUAAAUUAGAUAUGUAAACCAAAUAAACCGAUAAAAUGUCUAAACCGAUUUAGUAAACCAAAAACCAAACCUAAAUUUCUCUCUCUCACCAUCGAUCCUUCCCUCUCUCUCUCACCAUCGAUCCUUCCCUCUCUCUCACCAUCGUCGAUCUCUCACUACCAUCGAACUCUCCGAUCAAGUCUCUUAAGGGUCUCCUUCUUCUCCGAUCAAGUCUCCGGCUCCACCGUUGUUGGGUAUCGAAGCUCUUCUCCGAUCAAGUCUCUGGCUUCUCCGAUCAAGUCGCUCUCUGAUCAAUUCUCCGGUUCUGGUUACUUAAGGAGAAGUGCGACAAGUGAUUGGAUCUUGAGAGAUUGUUUGAUUUGGAAGUGAAAUUACUGAUGUUAAUGGUUUCAAACUUGUCUAACUUAAUUCUAAACAAACAAUUUUUUGUUCCAUUUACUUUCUCGUCAUCUAGUACGCCAACCACAUCAUGAUAUGCUUGUACUUUAAGUCAACACUUUAGAACUCUCUCCUUGCAUACAACCAU
rnacentral:lncRNA from 1 species